CAGUUUCUCGGCGCCAUUUUGUCUGGGCAGCGGUGGCUGCAGGUCUACCGUAUUUUAUGUUUCUGGCGAGACGAGAGCGGAAUCUUUAUCCCGUGGAUUCAUUUAACUGCGGCAGCCACCCACCGUUCCCUCCAGGACAGCACCUAGUGAAGAUCGGAAGAGUAGCGAUCUGUCAGAAAGGUCAGUUGGAAGCGGUAGUUGUCCGGUGGACUGGGGGAUGGCGCAGCUCUAGCGGCACCGGCACCGGAAGUGAAGGGGCCGCUCGGCAGCCAUAGCAGAUUGGUCUGAAGAAAAGGACAGUUAAGUGACAAACAUCCGGAAGUAUUACUGAGCUCCCUGGCUCUUUGUCCACCCUCAUGUUGGAAAUGGUGAGAGAACUGAUGCUGAGUCAUAAGGUUCCUUUGAGAAUGAUAGAAAUGAAAGCAAAGGGAUAGUCUUAUCAGAUAAGUGCUUUUUUAUCUGAAUGUAUUCGGUUUCUUCCAUAAGAUGGCUUUAGUAGUGCUUAGUUGUCUUUAACUUCAUUUGAAACAAUUUUGUUAGAUUGUAUUGUGAUAGCUGUCAUAUCAGCGUACUUUUUUAAAAAAAGCAUCAAAAUUGGUGAAUUUUUGUGUAGCCAUUUUAAUAUUGAAGAUGGAAGGAAAAAAACAGCAGCAUAUUAUGCAUUAUUCAAGAAAGGUUAAAACACAACUGAAAAGGCAAAACAUUCGUGCAGUGUAUGGAAAAGGUGCCGUGACUGAACGUGUCAAAAGUGGUUUGCAAAGUUUUGUGGUAGAGAUUUCUGACUGGACGAUGCUCCAUGGUCGGGGAGACCAGUUCAAGUUGAUAGCAGUCAGAUCGAGACGUAAAUUUCAGAACAAUCAACGUUAUACCACGCAGGAGAUAAGCCGACACACUCAAAAUCUCCAAAUCAGGUGUUGAAAAUCAUUCGCACCAGCUUGGUUAUGUUAAUUGCUUUGAUGUUUGGGUUCCACGUUAAGCGAAAGAAACGACCAUAUUUCUGCACUGCGAUUCUCUACUUACGUAACGAAAACAUUCCGUUUUUAAAAACAAAUUGUGAUGGGCAAUGAAAAUUGGAUACUGUACAAUAAUGUGGAAUAGAAGAGAUGUUAUGGAAGAAUCCGAACAAACUUCUUUGGCCAACCCAAUAUUAUUUGUAAUCUCUAAACCAAAACUUUAUUCUUUAAAACGUUUGUAAUUUUCUUUCCUAGGUACCAGUAUCGAGGUUUACAGUAAUAAGGUAUUCAGUCUUUGCUGAAAAUAAAUUUGUUAUCUUGUCAAAGUAAAA